GAACGACGCGGUAGACUCGCCGAAUUCGAAAACUUCCAAGAAAGUGGCGGCUUCGUGUAAAAUUUUGCGGUAUUAUUUGAAUGAAAAUUCUUUGGAAUAUCUUUCAUACAUGCAAUCAACCGAGACGAAGAUGGUCCCGCAUGUUUUGGGUUGG
rnacentral:ribozyme from 1 species